UACGUAGGAGGCAAGCGUUGUCCGGAUUUAUUGGGCGUAAAGGGUGCGUAGGCGGCGCGGUAAGUCGGGUGUGAAAUCUUGGAGCUUAACUCCGAAACUGCAUUCGAUACUGCCGUGCUUGAGGACUGGAGAGGAGACUGGAAUUUACGGUGUAGCGGUGAAAUGCGUAGAUAUCGUAAGGAAGACCAGUGGCGAAGGCGGGUCUCUGGACAGUUCCUGACGCUGAGGCACGAAGGCCAGGGGAGCAAACGGG
rnacentral:rRNA from 1 species